AAAUUGAUCCACAGCUGGGAUCAGUAGAAAAAUGUGAAGAUCAGCUUGGUGCUGAGAUGGAGCAACAUUUUAUUGUUGAAAAGUGUAGUAUAGGUGAGAUAUAUGAGGAUGGUAAUGAUGGGCAACUAGAGUCAGCAACGGGGAAAAUAGGAGUUGAAUUUGAAUUGAUUGCACAAUUCAUUCACAAAACUAAACUUUUUAUUGCAGAUCUUCUUGGGAAUGUUUUUGAAAUUAAGAAACAUAAAAGUGUUUCAAAAAGUAUGGGUGUUGGAAGCAAGUGGCAAUAUUUGGAGAGCCACGAUGGUGAAUUCAACUAUUUUACUCCUAUCAGCCUCAUGGAAGAUGCAUGGGAAAUAUCAAGAAAGGAAAGGAAGAAAGUUAAACCAUCAAAUGGUAUUGUGAUCUUGA
rnacentral:misc_RNA from 1 species